AGGUGCUGCACGGCCGUCGUCAGCUCGUGUCGUGAGAUGUUGGGUUAAGUCCCGCAACGAGCGCAACCCUCGAAUUUAGUUACUAACAGGUUAAGCUGAGGACUCUAGAUUGACUGCCUGGGUAACCAGGAGGAAGGUGAGGACGACGUCAAGUCAUCAUGGCCCUUACGGCCAGGGCUACACACGUGCUACAAUGGGGUAUACAAAGAGCCGCAAUACCGUGAGGUGGAGCAAAUCUCAUAAAAUAUCUCCCAGUUCGGAUAGUAGUCUGCAACUCGACUACUUGAAGUUGGAAUCGCUAGUAAUCGUGAAUCAGCAACGUCACGGUGAAUACGUUCCCGGGUCUUGUACUCACCGCCCGUCACACCAUGGGAAUUGAAUUCAUUCGAAGCGGGGAUGCUAAAAUAGCUACCUUCCACAGUGGAUUUAGUAACUAGGGUGAAGUCGUAACAAGGUA
rnacentral:rRNA from 1 species